rnacentral:rRNA from 1 species
CGCAAGGGUGCGUAACGCGUAACGUAACUUGCCCCAAGGUAAGGAAUAACGUCGAGAAAUCGGCGCUAAUACCUCAUAAUGCAGCGGAUCCGCAUGGAUAUGUUGUUAAAGGUUUACCGCCUUGGGAUAGGCUUGCGUCUGAUUAGUUAGUUGGUGUGGUAACGGCACACCAAGGCUACGAUCAGUAACUGGUCUGAGAGGAUGAUCAGUCACACUGGAACUGAGACACGGUCCAGACUCCUACGGGAGGCAGCAGUGAGGAAUAUUGGGCAAUGCUCGAAAGAGUGACCCAGCAACGCCGCGUGGAGGAUGAAGGUAUUCUAUAUCGUAAACUCCUGUGAGAGCAGACGAAAGACAGAUUAUUAAUCUGGAUGACUGUAUGCUCAGAGGAAGCCCCGGCUAACUACGUG